rnacentral:rRNA from 1 species
AGAACGAACGCUGGCGGCAGGCUUAACACAUGCAAGUCGAACGCUGUAGCAAUACAGAGUGGCGCACGGGUGAGUAAUACUUGGGAACGUGCCUUGGAGUCUGGGAUAACCACGGGAAACUGUGGCUAAUACCGGAUAUUCCCCUCGGGGGAAAGAUUUAUCGCUCCAAGAUCGGCCCAAGCCAGAUUAGGUAGUUGGUGGGGUAAUGGCCUACCAAGCCUACGAUCUGUAGCUGGUCUGAGAGGACGACCAGCCACACUGGAACUGAGACACGGUCCAGACUCCUACGGGAGGCAGCAGUGGGGAAUAUGGACAAUGGGCGCAAGCCUGAUCCAGCCACGCCGCGUGAGUGAUGAAGGCCUUCGGGUCGUAAAGCUCUGUGGGGAGGGACGAACCGCUGGGUAUUAAUACCAUCCAGCAUGACGGUACCUCCUUAGCAAGCACCGGCUAACUUCGUGCCAGCAGCCGC